CUCUCUCAUCUCUCUCUUUUUUUCAAGCCUCAGAUCUCUCUCCUCUGUUCACUCUCCUCUCAAUCUCUCCUCAAAGAUGAAGGCAAUCACAUCCACUACCACCGCCGCAGCUGCAACCUCAUCCACAACCACCGCAACCACAAAUUCUCUCUCCCUUUUUCUGUUCUCCUCUAGCCGUCUUUUACCCUAUCAAUUGUUUUCUAGGGUUUAUCGCCAUUGUUAUACCUCUAUUUCUCAGAUCUAAUCACCUUCUUAUGCUAGUUUGAUCAAUCAACCAUGUAGACUGCGAUCUUAAUCGUGAUGAAAUUGCUCUGUUUUUAGGCUUCCUUGGUGCUGCUUCUUCUCUUGUUUUCGCUUCGAUUGUUAGGGUUUUGGUUUAUUUUUCAUGGCUCUGAAGAGAUCCAAGUAUAUGAGCUGAGUGUGGAUCUGGGAAGAAUGGUCUGCGAGGGUGGUCUAAUCCCCAAAUUCCUUCUUCAUGGAUGUUAAAUGCCAGGGAUGCUUCAACAUUCAAUCAUGAUGCAGUUUAGCGAGUCAUGGAGGGUUCAAAACCAAUACUUGACCUGUCUGUAGAGGUCGCAUCGAUUUCUGAGAUGUUUCAUCUCUUCGGAUUUCAUUUAAACUGUAGUGAAGAAGUUACUGAUUAUCCAUGGUGGCGGCGGCAACGUGGAUACGGUAAUGGUGGUGCUCAUAGAGAUGUCAAUUUUAUUGCAGUUUAAGACUUCUUAGGAGCAGCUACAACAACCACAACUUCCUGCUAGUUGUAGUGAUGACUUUGCUGUUAACAACCGCAACUCUUCUUACCUGGUAGGAAUGGUGAGUCUUGUUACUACUGUUUGCUGCUGUCGUUGCUCUUACUAAUGCCUACUGCUAGCACUGUUGUCUGCUAGCCUGGUACUACUGUAUGCUGUUAUUGCUACCUGCUGCUAUCUGCUGUUACUACGUUUACUAAUGCCUACUGCUGUCUGCUGGCCUGUAGCUGCUGCUAUUUGCGUGCUGUUACUACUAGCUACUGUUAUUGCUGCUGUCUCUUUGCUACUGUGCUGACUUAUGUUGCCUUUAGAGACCGAAGUUGAUUUUCUUUUUGUUUUGAUUAUUAGAUUGUUUAGCCAAACAAACAAAUUGGUGUUUAUGGAUUAUUUUAUGAAAUUAUGAAAUUGUAUCAAUUCAAAUUAUGGUCUAUCACUCUAUCGUAUAUUUUAGUUUCAUAUUC